GCGCUACACUGAUGCAUUCAACAAGCCUAUCCUUGACCGAAGGGUCUGGGUAAUCUUUGAAACUGCAUCGUGAUGGGGAUAGAUUAUUGCAAUUAUUAGUCUUCAACGAGGAAUGCCUAGUAAGCGCAAGUCAUCAGCUUGCGUUGAUUACGUCCCUGCCCUUUGUACACACCGCCCGUCGCUCCUACCGAUUGGGUGUGCUGGUGAAGUGUUCGGAUUGGCAGCUUAGGGUGGCAACACCUCAGGUCUGCCGAGAAGUUCAUUAAACCCUCCCACCUAGAGGAAGGAGAAGUCGUAACAAGGUUUCCGUAGGUGAACCUGCGGAAGGAUCAUUGAAUUAUUAAAACCACAAUGCGAACCUAUCUGUUCCGUGCCUUAGCUGCCAGCAAGGCAAUUGGCUUGCCCAAUUGUACUUGCAAGCUGGUGCGAGUAAUUUGAUUACUUGCAUCAGUGGCGCUUUGGCAUGCUUAUACACCAGUGCUAACCACUGUCAAAACCAAACUCUGAAGCUUUGAUUGUUAUUAACUGGCAAUCUUAACCAAAGACAACUCUCAACAACGGAUAUCUUGGCUCUCGCAACGAUGAAGAACGCAGCGAAAUGCGAUACGUAGUGUGAAUUGCAGAAUUCCGUGAACCAUCGAAUCUUUGAACGCAUAUUGCGCUCGAGCCCUCGGGCAAGAGCAUGUCUGCCUCAGCGUCGGUUUAUACCCUCACCCCUCUCUCCCUUUGGAGGGCUGGUCAGCUUCUAGUUGGCCUCAGGGAUGGAUCUGGCUCUCCCAAUUGGUUCACUCCGAUUGGGUUGGCUGAAGCUUAGAGGCUUAAGCAAGGACCCGAUAUGGGCUUCAACUGGAUAGGUAGCACCGGCUUCUGCCGACUACACGAAGUUGUGGCUUGUGGACUUUGCUAGAGGCCAAGCAGGAAACAUGCUUUGCAUGUCUUAAACUUUCGACCUGAGCUCAGGCAAGGCUACCCGCUGAACUUAAGCAUAUCAAUAAGCGGAGGAAAAGAAACUAACUAGGAUGCGCUUAGUAACGGCGAGCGAACCGCGCAAAGCCCAACUUGAAAAUCUCCCUUGGAGAAUUGUAGUCUAUAGAAGUACCCUCUGUAACGGGCGCAGCUCAAGUCUCCUGGAAAGGGGCGUCAGAGAGGGUGAGAACCCCGUAAGCUGUUGCUUUGUUGCCUCACGAGGUGCUUUCAAAGAGUCGGGUUGCUUGGGAAUGCAGCCCAAAUUUGGUGG
rnacentral:rRNA from 1 species